rnacentral:rRNA from 17 species
AAUAACAAUUUUGAAAAAGAUUAAAAAAUUAAAGUGUGAGGGAGGAGUGAGUCAGUCAUUCAUGAAGGGUGUCAAAAAAGGUGCAUGAUCAAUCGUGGGGAAAUGAAAUCGAGUCACGGACGAAACGAAGUGUGAAUCUCAUAACCCAAAAAG